GUUCAAAGCAAAUGCGAUGCUCAGCGGGAACAGAAGGCAGCGCCUGCUGGCAGGUGGACAGCAUGGACAGCACGGACAGCCAUCCCGGCAGGGCCGGCUGCUGAGAGCUCCUACCUGUUAGGAUUCGCGUUUUCAGGCACAAACAACACAGUUGGAGAUGCUUUUAUAUAAGAGCUGAGAAUCCUCCUGACUCACAGGGCUGUGGGGAGGAGAAAAGAUGGCCCAAGUGAUGAUCUCCAGAGCUGCCAGCACCCGGCGCAAAGUAACCAGCUCCUAAACCUUGUGGAACCCAAUGCGUCCUGCUGCUCUCUGCUCACAUCCACAUCCUGCACGGCAUGGAGAUGGGUAAGGUGGUUCAUCCCUGAUCCCAGCCCCGAGGACAUGCAGCCAUGCAGAGCCCUGGGGAUGGAUUGCAGGCUCUCCUUUAGGACUUUGUCUUUGUUCCCCUUGCUUCCCUGGGCGCCGUCCAGCCAAGUUCCUCGAAGUGAGAAAUACAGCCUUGCAGGAGGAAUCAUCCUGUAGGAAACACGUGGUGCUGUUCCAGCCUCAGGUGUCCCCUUGGAUGCUCACAGCUGAGCAAUCACUCUUCUUCUUGGCUCAGGGAGCUCAUUUCCUAAAUGGUGCCAUCUCCACUGCAAGCACCGACAGCUGAUUUUGAAGAAAAUCACAGAAAAUAGAGCACUGCCAGCACCUGCCUGGACAUGGACACGCUGCAACCCACAGCAAUGGAUGUCUGAAUGCCCUUUGCCCGCUGCCCUGGGGCUGAUUUUGCAGGGCCAUCUCUAUAGGGAGCAAUGCAGAGGGGCUGAGGAGUGAGGACAUCUCCUCCCGCUGCAGCUCUCAGCUUGCACAUCUCACUCUAACAUCUGGCCAAGUUGUGUUCCAUGGGCAAAGCAAGCUUUGAGUCCAGGCUGACAGCUCCUGGGAGAUCAGCUCCGCCAGCAUCAUUUCUUGGUGAUAGCUCACUCACAAAGGGGGAAAGAAAUGGAAGCAAAUCUUACAUGACACAUUUAUUUUUGUCAUCUAUUUAUUAGCUCAGAGCAAAAGGCCUGCUGCGCUGCAUUGUGGGGAUUAUGCAAAUGAGGGACAUCAAGACAAUU
rnacentral:lncRNA from 7 species